AUGAACGCUGGCGGCGUGCCUAAUACAUGCAAGUCGAGCGAACAGACGAGGAGCUUGCUCCUCUGACGUUAGCGGCGGACGGGUGAGUAACACGUGGAUAACCUACCUAUAAGACUGGGAUAACUUCGGGAAACCGGAGCUAAUACCGGAUAAUAUAUUGAACCGCAUGGUUCAAUAGUGAAAGACGGUUUUGCUGUCACUUAUAGAUGGAUCCGCGCCGCAUUAGCUAGUUGGUAAGGUAACGGCUUACCAAGGCAACGAUGCGUAGCCGACCUGAGUGGGUGAUCGGCCACACUGGAACUGAGACACGGUCCAGACUCCUACGGGAGGCAGCAGUAGGGAAUCUUCCGCAAUGGGCGAAGGCCUGACGGAGCAACGCCGCGUGAGUGAUGAAGGUCUUCGGAUCGUAAAACUCUGUUAUUAGGGAAGAACAAAUGUGUAAGUAACUAUGCACGUCUUGACGGUACCUAAUCAGAAAGCCACGGCUAACUACGUG
rnacentral:rRNA from 1 species